UACGGGGGGGGCAAGCGUUGUUCGGAAUUACUGGGCGUAAAGGGCUCGUAGGCGGCCAACUAAGUCAGACGUGAAAUCCCCAGGCUCAACCUGGGAACUGCGUCUGAUACUGGAUGGCUUGAAUCCGGGAGAGGGAUGCAGAAUUCCAGGUGUAGCGGUGAAAUGCGUAGAGAUGUGGAGGAAUACCGAUGGCGAAGGCAGCCUCCUGGGCCAACACUGACGCUCAUGCACGAAAGCGUGGGGGAGCAAACAGG
rnacentral:rRNA from 1 species